rnacentral:rRNA from 1 species
AUAGCAUAUCAAUAAGCGGAGGAAAAGAAACCAACAGGGAUUGCCCUAGUAACGGCGAGUGAAGCGGCAACAGCUCAAAUUUGAAAUCUGGCGUCUUUGGCGUCCGAGUUGUAAUUUGCAGAGGGCGCUUUGGCAUUGGCAGCGGUCCAAGUUCCUUGGAACAGGACGUCACAGAGGGUGAGAAUCCCGUACGUGGUCGCUAGCCUUUACCGUGUAAAGCCCCUUCGACGAGUCGAGUUGUUUGGGAAUGCAGCUCUAAAUGGGAGGUAAAUUUCUUCUAAAGCUAAAUACUGGCCAGAGACCGAUAGCGCACAAGUAGAGUGAUCGAAAGAUGAAAAGCACUUUGGAAAGAGAGUUAAAAAGCACGUGAAAUUGUUGAAAGGGAAGCGCUUGCAGCCAGACUUGCCUGUAGUUGCUCAUCCGGGUUUUUACCCGGUGCACUCUUCUAUGGGCAGGCCAGCAUCAGUUUGGGCGGUUGGAUAAAGGUCUCUGUCACGUACCUCCUCUCGGGGAGAACUUAUAGGGGAGACGUAAUGCAACCAGCCUGGACUGAGGUCCGCGCAUCUGCUAGGAUGCUGGCGUAAUGGCUGUAAGCGGCCCGUCUUGAAACACGGACCAAGGAGUCUAACAUCUAUGCGAGUGUUUGGGUGUCAAGCCCGAGCGCGUAAUGAAAGUGAACGGAGGUGGGAACCUUUCGGGGUGCACCAUCGACCGAUCCUGAUGUCUUCGGAUGGAUUUGAGUAAGAGCAUAGCUGUUGGGACCCGAAAGAUGGUGAACUAUGCUUGAAUAGGGUGAAGCCAGAGGAAACUCUGGUGGAGGCUCGCAGCGGUUCUGACGUGCAAAUCGAUCGUCAAAUUUGGGCAUAGGGGCGAAAGA